AUUCUAGGUUGUGAUUCAUAUUUUGCUACUUCAUGUAGAUUAAAAACACUUUUGGUUAGUUUUACUUACGAUAAGUUCACCGUUGGUGAGUAAAAAGCAAAUCGGCAGCAUAUUUGCUGGUCUAUUUAAUUUAAGUGGUCGUUGAAUUGCAAACGACAAACGCAAAAGUCUAGUUGGGUAUGGAAAAGAAAGCUUAAACGAUUCCAGUAUGAAAACGGCGCGUUGUGGAUAUGUGACCUGUAGCAUACGGAAUACCUGCCUGCUUCGAUUCCCGCCUUUAUACGGUCGUCCCCAACAACUCAUCAUAAUGGCCGAUAGUUGUCCAACGUGAUAGAGUAAUUCAAGAGGAAGGUUUAUAUGUAUAAU
rnacentral:lncRNA from 1 species